rnacentral:rRNA from 1 species
GCAUAUCAAUAAGCGGAGGAAAAGAAACCAACAGGGAUUGCCCUAGUAACGGCGAGUGAAGCGGCAACAGCUCAAAUUUGAAAUCUGGCGCAAGCCCGAGUUGUAAUUUGUAGAGGAUGCUUCUAGGUAGCGACCGGUCUAAGUUCCUUGGAACAGGACGUCAUAGAGGGUGAGAAUCCCGUAUGUGACUGGCCCGCACCUUCUACGUAGCUCCUUCGACGAGUCGAGUUGUUUGGGAAUGCAGCUCUAAAUGGGAGGUAAAUUUCUUCUAAAGCUAAAUACCGGCCAGAGACCGAUAGCGCACAAGUAGAGUGAUCGAAAGAUGAAAAGCACUUUGGAAAGAGAGUUAAAAAGCACGUGAAAUUGUUGAAAGGGAAGCGCUCACAACCAGACUUCUAGGCAGUGUUCCGCCGGUCUUUUGACCGGUCUACUCUCUGUCUCGAGGCCAACAUCAUCUGGGACCGCUGGAUAAGACCUUAGGAAUGUAGCUCCCCUCGGGGAGUGUUAUAGCCUCUGGUGAUGCAGCGAGUCUCGGGUGAGGUCCGCGCUUCGGCAAGGAUGUUGGCGUAAUGGUUGUCAGCGGCCCGUCUUGAAACACGGACCAAGGAGUCUAACAUCUAUGCGAGUGUUCGGGUGUCAAACCCCUACGCGUAAUGAAAGUGAACGGAGGUGGGAAGCGUAAGCUGCACCAUCGACCGAUCCUGAUGUCCUCGGAUGGAUUUGAGUAAGAGCAUAGCUGUUGGGACCCGAAAGAUGGUGAACUAUGCCUGAAUAGGGUGAAGCCAGAGGAAACUCUGGUGGAGGCUCGCAGCGGUUCUGACGUGCAAAUCGAUCGUCAAAUUUGGGUAUAGGGGCGAAAGACUAAUCGAACCAUCUAGUAGCUGGUUCCUGCCGA